UCGCGUUCCCCCCUAAACGGAACCGUUUUGAGGCAUGUGGGAGGGCCAAAACUCUGCCGUUUUACGUGGCUAUUAAAGCUAUUUUUUUUUAUUUUUUUUAUUUUUAGCUCCCAUUUUAAAAAAAAAACACAGAGAGCUUCUUUGCUCUCUCUCCCUCUCCUUUUCUCCCCUGCGGCUACGGUUUUGAAACCCAUCAUCGCCACCGUCGUCACGGCGCCACCACGAGCGGAGGUUGGGCGGUGCAACUCCGGGACAAUCCAGGUAAGUGUUUCCUUCCCCUUUUUAUUUAUUUUAUACCCACUUUUUUUAAAAAUAGAUUUGUAGUAAAAAAAAUGAAUAGAAAGAAAAAAUAAAAGAAAAUCGAGAUCAACCUUAAACUUUUGUUCCGCUCUUUUGAUUAAAAUGUGCGUGUAAAAAAUUUACAAAGGAAGUGAUUCGGCUUUUAUAGUUGAGUUAAGCAACUCUCUGUUUCUAUUCUUUUUUGUUUUUUUACUAUUUAUUUCUUCUGCAUGUUCUCUGUUGUUGUAUUCAAUUUCUUUGCAGGUGUCAGAGAGAUGCCAAGCGCGUGGAAGAGGUAGCAUUUGAGGAGUGCGACGAAGCGACGCGCGUGGUGGCUCAGCAUGCAUGGGGUGAGCGGCGACUGAAGCUUGAAGGGGAUAGGGUUGCUGAAAUGUUUUCUUUGUAAUGGGCUAGUUGGGCUUUAGGGUUUCUAGGAUUUUGGGUCUGAAAUGGGUUUAGGCUUGGGUUGGUUUGGUUUUGUAAAUGGACUUUUAUUUUGGGACUUUUAUUUUAGUUUGUUUGGGUGUUUUUUUUUUUUUUGUGUGUGUUUGUUGGUCUGGGCCAAAAUUGGCUACUACACCAACCACACAUUUAUUAAGCUCUAAUGGAGUGUAAAAAUAAUGAAUUGUAGAUUAAUUAAUAUAAGUGAAUCCUUAGUAUAUAUUCCACUUCCCACACACACAUAUAACAUAGUGUACACUUUUUGAGGAGCAAUGGAGAACGAGAAAGGUCUGUUAAUACAACAACAAUGGUAUUUUAAUAACAGUGGUUAGUUAAAUAGCAUUUAAAAUGAGAGGUUAUUUGGGGAGAGUUCAUAUCAAAUGCACAACUGAGAGUUUAGUAGUGAAUUUUUCUUUGAGCUAAGUCGUACAAGGGUAGAUGGUCCACCAAAUUAUGUUACCAAUUUGCUUUUAUUUUUUUCUAGUAUUUGUUGCUUUGUUCAUACCAAUACUUGUAGCCUCAUCACAUACCAAAAAUAAGUUUCGACAAUUUACAAUUAAACAUAGUAGCAUUUGGUAUCAGAAC
rnacentral:lncRNA from 1 species